CUGGCGGCGUGCUUAACACAUGCAAGUCGAACGAAGCGCUUGAACAGGAUCUCUUCGGAGUGACGUUCUUGUGACUUAGUGGCGGACGGGUGAGUAACGCGUGGGUAACCUGCCCUUAUCUGGGGGAUAACAGUUAGAAAUGACUGCUAAUACCGCAUAAGCGCACACUGAGGCAUCUCAGAGUGUGAAAAGAUUUAUCGGAUAAGGAUGGACCCGCGUUAGAUUAGCCGGUUGCGGGGUAACGGCCCACCAAAGCUACGAUCUAUAGCCGGCCUGAGAGGGCGACCGGCCACAUUGGGACUGAGACACGGCCCAAACUCCUACGGGAGGCAGCAGUGAGGAAUAUUGCACAAUGGGGGAAACCCUGAUGCAAGCGACGCCGCGUGAGUGAUGAAGUAUUUCGGUAUGUAAAACUCUAUCAGCAGGGAAGAAGAAGGACGGUACCUGACUAAGAAGCCCCGGCUAACUACGUGCCAGCAGCCGC
rnacentral:rRNA from 1 species